rnacentral:misc_RNA from 1 species
CGCACCUUGCGCUCCUUGGUAUUCCUAGGAGCAUGCCUGUUUGAGUGUCUUGAAAUCAUCAACCCCUCUCCGCUUUGUGGUGGAGCUCUGGUGGAUUGGAUUUGGGGAUCUGCUGGUUAAGCCCUUGGGGCACAUCUGGCUUCCCUUGAAUGCAUUAGCAGUUGUAUCUUCGGUUUUCUGACUUGCUCACGGUGUGAUAAUAUCAUUCAUUGUGGGGCUUGUUGGGUGCGGAGGUUUUCCUGCUUCUAAUUGUCCUCGGACAAAUUCUUUCAAGUUUUGACCUCAAAUCAGGUAGGACUACCCGCUGAACUUAA